AAGAAAAGAAAACGUUGUGGAUAUUAGACAAACCUUUUGCUUGGCAAGAUCUUGGCAGCCAGUGAAAUUCUCAGGGAACUUGCAGCUUCCGAAUUGAACAGUGAAUGCUCUCGCAAAGUUUGCUCCACUUGUUGCCAAUCUCUUCUUAUCAUUAAGUUCCUAUAAUCAAAAUUUCAAAAAAUCCAAAACUUUUUAGGAUCUUUAGCAAUGUCAAGAUUGAGGCAUUCAAAGACUUACUUUGUUGGUUUUGCUCCUCUCGAGGUAUUCGUCAAUGACGCCAGCAUUAGCAGAAGCAGAAACAGCAGCAGUGGAGAAGAGUGUAGCUGCUAAGAAAACCAUGGCUGAUCGUCUUCCAUUAGAUCCAUCAACAUCAUCACCAACAACGCGUUGAGCUUUGAUCACAGGCAUAAUCAUCUGUUUCUUCUGACCAAACCCAACUGAUGAAUUCACCAAACCAACUUUCUGGUUAAGCUCUACCGAGCCAGAGCCAGCAAUUGCGUAGCUGCAAGUGAGAACACUCGAGUUCAUGGCCGCCAUUAAAGAUGUCUUUUUCUUUUGUUCUUGAAAAAUUCAAGAGUUUUUUGAGUUUGAUUGGUGAGU
rnacentral:sRNA from 1 species